AUAAGUGCUGAAAGCAUCUAAGCAUGAAGCCCCCCUCAAGAUGAGAUUUCCCAUAGCGCAAGCUAGUAAGAUCCCUGAAAGAUGAUCAGGUUGAUAGGUCAGAGGUGGAAGCGUGGCGACAUGUGUAGCUGACUGAUACUAAUCGAUCGAGGACUUAACCAA
rnacentral:rRNA from 1 species